rnacentral:rRNA from 1 species
UGGGGAAUAUUGCACAAUGGGCGAAAGCCUGAUGCAGCAACGCCGCGUGAAGGAAGAAGGGUUUCGGCUCGUAAACUUCUAUCAACAGGGACGAAGGAAGUGACGGUACCUGAAUAAGAAGCCCCGGCUAACUACGUGCCAGCAGCCGCGGUAAUACGUAGGGGGCAAGCGUUAUCCGGAAUUACUGGGUGUAAAGGGUGAGUAGGCGGCAUGGUAAGCCAGAUGUGAAAGCCUUGGGCUUAACCCGAGGAUUGCAUUUGGAACUAUCAAGCUAGAGUACAGGAGAGGAAAGGCGGAAUUCCUAGUGUAGCGGUGAAAUGCGUAGAUAUUAGGAAGAACACCAGUGGCGAAGGCGGCUUUCUGGACUGAAACUGACGCUGAGGCACGAAAGCGUGGGGAGCGAACAGGAUUAGAUACC